GCCCAGACUCCUACGGGAGGCAGCAGUGGGGGAUAUUGCACAAUGGGGGAAACCCUGAUGCAGCGACGCCGCGUGUGGGAAGACGGUCCUCUGGAUUGUAAACCACUGUCCCCAGGGACGAAAAUGACGGUACCUGGGGAGGAAGCUCCGGCUAACUACGUGCCAGCAGCCGCGGUAAUACGUAGGGAGCGAGCGUUGUCCGGAAUUACUGGGUGUAAAGGGAGCGCAGACGGCAGUGCAAGUCUGGAGUGAAAGCCCGGGGCCCAACCCCGGAACUGCUCUGGAAACUGUGCGGCUAGAGUACUGGAGGGGCAGGCGGAAUUCCUAGUGUAGCGGUGAAAUGCGUAGAUAUUAGGAGGAACACCGGUGGCGAAGGCGGCCUGCUGGACUGCAACUGACGUUGAGGCCCGAAAGCGUGGGGAGCAAACAGGAUUAGAUACCCGCGUAU
rnacentral:rRNA from 1 species